GACGAACGCUGGCGGCGUGCUUAACACAUGCAAGUCGAACGCUGAAGCUCAGCUUUUGUUGGGUGGAUGAGUGGCGAACGGGUGAGUAACACGUGAGUAACCUGCCUCCUUCUUUGGGAUAACGCCCGGAAACGGGUGCUAAUACUGGAUAUUCACUGGUCUUUGCAUGGGGGUUGGUGGAAAGGGUUUUUCUGGUGGGGGAUGGGCUCGCGGCCUAUCAGCUGGUUGGUGGGGUGAUGGCCUAACAAGGCUUUGACGGGUAGCCGGCCUGAGAGGGUGACCGGUAACAUGGGGACUGAGAUACGGCCCAGACUACUACGGGGGGCAGCAGUGGGGAAUAUUGCCAAAUGGGUGAAAGACUGAUGCAGCGACGCCGCGGGAGGGAUGGAGGCCUUCGGGUUGUGAACCUCUUUCGCUAAUGGUCAAGCCGCAACAAUGGUUGUGGUGAGGGUAGUGGGUAAAGAAGCGCCGGCUAACUACGUG
rnacentral:rRNA from 1 species